rnacentral:rRNA from 1 species
CCCUUAGAUGUUCUGGGCCGCACGCGCGCUACACUGAUGCAUUCAACGAGUCUAAAACCUGCUCUGAUAGGGGUGGGUAAUCUUUUGAAUGUGCAUCGUGAUUGGGAUAGAUGAUUGCAAUUUUUCAUCUUCAACGAGGAAUGCCUAGUAAACGCAAGUCAUCAGCUUGCAUUGAUUACGUCCCUGCCCUUUGUACACACCGCCCGUCGCUCCUACCGAUUGAAUGAUCCGAUGAAUAUCAUGGAUUGAGGAUGCAAGUAGGUUAGCCUAUCUUCAUCUUCGAGAAGUGAAGUAAAUCUUAUCAUUUAGAGGAAGGAAAAGUCGUAACA